AGAGAGAGACAUGCGCGCAUAUCAAUAAGCGGAGGAAAAGAAACUAACAAGGAUUCCCUUAGUAACGGCGAGUGAAGCGGGAAGAGCUCAAAUUUGAAAUCUUCAAGGUUUUACCUUGACGAAUUGUAGUUUAAAGGAAGUGUUUUCUGCUGAAGUUUUGGUAAAAGUUCUUUGGAAUAGGACAUCAUAGAGGGUGAGAAUCCCGUAUUUGACCAUUAUUUUCAGCUUUGUGAUACACUUUCAAAGAGUCGGAUUGUUUGGGAAUGCAGUCCAAAAUGGGUGGUAAAUUUCAUCUAAAGCUAAAUAUUGGCGAGAGACCGAUAGCGAACAAGUACCGUGAGGGAAAGAUGAAAAGAACUUUGAAAAGAGAGUUAAACAGUACGUGAAAUUGUCAAAAGGGAAGCGUUUGACACCAGUGUUGUUUUCUCGGAAAAUCAAUUAAAAAUGGCUCGAUCUUGUAUUGCUUGAGACCUUAAAAGCUCACUGUACAUUUUUCGUGUCUUUUUUAAUGCACUUUUCGUUUAACAAGUCAACAUCAGUUUCUUUUGUUGUAAAAGGGUCAUUGGAAGGUGGCUUUCUUUUCGGAGAAAGUGUUUAUAGCCUUUGGCCUCUGCAAUCGGAAGAGACUGAGGUCUGCAGCGUAGACUCUUCGGGGUUAGAUACAUUUGUGCUAAGUUAUAGCUUUUUAUAGACAACUUGUUGACUAUAAUUAGUCUUGUAGCUUACUCGCUUAUGCUAUUUUACCUACGCUUAGGAUGUUGAGUCGUAGAGCACGCAG
rnacentral:rRNA from 1 species